AAUGCCGGGGCAUUCCCCCUUGGCCAAGCAGUACAGAAGUUUCUUUGGUCAGUGAAGAAAAGCACAAUGGCAUACUUAAGAGGGGAAAAGGAAACAACGUUUAUUUCCCCUCUUACAUGGUGUUCUCUCUCUUGUUGUGGCAGAGUGACGUAAAGGACAUCUAUUUGUGAAUGUAAGAGAAAAGGUCUCUUCUUAAACUAUGAUAAAUGCUUAUGCAAACUACAAUGUAGGGUUUUUCCCCCAUGUGAUGGAUUAUUAGCAUGUAAAGUGUAAGGGGCUUCUGUUGCCAUGGUACGUUUCACACCAUUUACACUGAUAUUCAAAAGAUACAAAACCAUUACAGUCCAUAAUUCAUUUAAUAUGUUAUAACCAAAUUACUAACAGGCACUAGAGAAAAACUGUAGCUUUUUUCAUGUCUUAUUUAGCCAAAUUCUGAUGUGUUAGAAAAAUGGGUAUAUCCAUUGCUAAAUAACUCUGGAAUAACUAUGGUUGCCUGCCUGAUCAAAGAAAGUAGUUUCAGUGAAGAAUUGCAUUUCAGCUACAGGGCUCUCACUAAGCUGCGAAGAGGCAAGGGAAACCAGCUGUAAAAAUGUUGAUGUUGGCCAUGAAUUUACAUAAAUAACAACUUGCUUUCAUUUGAAUACUCAGGGUGAUAUUAAAAUGUGGACUUGGGUCUGCAGAAGAUCUCGUUUUACUGCUUGAUUCUGCUACUGAGACACAUGGCUUCUAUGUGCCUCAGUUUCUCUAUCUCUAAAACAAGGAUGGUGGUUGUCCUGGAGUUUUUCAAGCAUUAUGUUGCUCUAGUGAUUAGCCAUUACGGUAUUCUAUGGCUGAGCCUACAGGGUCUUUAGUUCAAGUCUCCUGUCAGGACCUUGGGCUGCUGAGCUUUAUGCUUCUGUCAGUAGGCUUUAGAUAUAGUAGGCCAAAUUGUGUUCUUGGUAUGCAUACAGUUAUUAAUCUGGCUUUUGUGUUCAAACCUUCCCUUUGAUUUCAAUUAACUUAACUUUAAUUAAUUGAAUUUGAACAUUUCAGUCUCUGGUUUC
rnacentral:lncRNA from 1 species